UACGUAGGGGGGCUAGCGUUGUCCGGAAUCAUUGGGCGUAAAGAGCGUGUAGGCGGCCCGGUAAGUCCGCUGUGAAAGUCGGGGGCUCAACCCUCGAAUGCCGGUGGAUACUGUCGGGCUAGAGUGCGGAAGAGGCGAGUGGAAUUCCUGGUGUAGCGGUGAAAUGCGCAGAUAUCAGGGAGGAACACCGAUUGCGAAGGCAGCUCGCUGGGACGUAACUGACGCUGAGAACGCGAAAAGCGUGGGGAGCAAACAGG
rnacentral:rRNA from 1 species